rnacentral:rRNA from 1 species
UACGGAGGGUGCGAGCGUUAAUCGGAAUUACUGGGCGUAAAGGGCGCGUAGGCGGUUGUGUAAGCGGGAUGUGAAAUCCCCGGGCUUAACCCGGGAACUGCAUUGCGAACUGCACGGCUAGAGUUUUGGAGAGGAGAGUAGAAUUCCCGGUGUAGCGGUGAAAUGCGUAGAGAUCGGGAGGAAUACCAGUGGCGAAGGCGGCUCUCUGGCCAAAAACUGACGCUGAGGUGCGAAAGCGUGGGGAGCAAACAGG